ACUGCUCUAUGUGCUCCUUCUUU
rnacentral:miRNA from 1 species